rnacentral:rRNA from 1 species
GAUUAACGCUGGCGGCGUGCAUAACACAUGCAAGUCGAACGAUGAAGAUUAGAAGAAUUCUUCGGAAUGAAACUAAUUGGAUUAGUGGCGAACGGGUGAGUAACGCGUGAGUAACCUGCCUUACACAAGGGGAUAGCCGUUGGAAACGACGAAUAAAACCCUAUGACGUAAAUAUACCGCAUGAUAUAUUUACCAUAGUGCUUAGUGGUGUAAGAUGGACUUGCGUCUGAUUAGCUAGUUGGUGAGAUAAAAGCUCACCAAGGCAACGAUCAGUAGCCGGCUUGAGAGAGUGUACGGCCACAUUGGGACUGAGACACGGCCCAAACUCCUACGGGAGGCAGCAGUGGGGAAUUUUGCACAAUGGGGGAAACCCUGAUGCAGCGACGCCGCGUGAUUUAAGAAGGCCUUCGGGUUGAAAGAUCUUUUGUAUAGGAAGAAAAUGACAGUACUAUACGAAUAAGUC